ACAGUUUUGGAUUGCGUGUCAGUUGUGCAUUUGCAUUAUUAACUUUUACCACGUUGUAAAUGCACAUUUCUGGUACGGCAUUUCAAAACCA
rnacentral:pre_miRNA from 1 species